GAGCUCGUAGGCGGUUUGUCGCGUCUGUCGUGAAAGUCCGGGGCUUAACCCCGGAUCUGCGGUGGGUACGGGCAGACUAGAGUGCAGUAGGGGAGACUGGAAUUCCUGGUGUAGCGGUGGAAUGCGCAGAUAUCAGGAGGAACACCGAUGGCGAAGGCAGGUCUCUGGGCUGUAACUGACGCUGAGGAGCGAAAGCAUGGGGAGCGAACAGGAUUAGAUACCCUGGUAGUCCAUGCCGUAAACGUUGGGCACUAGGUGUGGGGACCAUUCCACGGUUUCCGCGCCGCAGCUAACGCAUUAAGUGCCCCGCCUGGGGAGUACGGCCGCAAGGCUAAAACUCAAAGGAAUUGACGGGGGCCCGCACAAGCGGCGGAGCAUGCGGAUUAAUUCGAUGCAACGCGAAGAACCUUACCAAGGCUUGACAUGUUCUCGAUCGCCGUAGAGAUACGGUUUCCCCUUUGGGGCGGGUUCACAGGUGGUGCAUGGUUGUCGUCAGCUCGUGUCGUGAGAUGUUGGGUUAAGUCCCGCAACGAGCGCAACCCUCGUUCCAUGUUGCCAGCACGUAAUGGUGGGGACUCAUGGGAGACUGCCGGGGUCAACUCGGAGGAAGGUGAGGACGACGUCAAAUCAUCAUGCCCCUUAUGUCUUGGGCUUCACGCAUGCUACAAUGGCCGGUACAAUGGGUUGCGAUACUGUGAGGUGGAGCUAAUCCCAAAAAGCCGGUCUCAGUUCGGAUUGGGGUCUGCAACUCGACCCCAUGAAGUCGGAGUCGCUAGUAAUCGCAGAUCAGCAACGCUGCGGUGAAUACGUUCCCGGGCCUUGUACACACCGCCCGUCAAGUCACGAAAGUUGGUAACACCCGAAGCCGGUGGCCUAACCCUUGU
rnacentral:rRNA from 1 species